rnacentral:lncRNA from 1 species
ACACCGGCCCUGGUCCUUCCAUUGAUUCAUAAGUACAACACCCUACUUCUCGGAUACAGAGCUGUGGCAGAAAUGUUUGCUGGAGUGAGCAGCGUAUGGAGCACAUGGGACAUGCAGACCCAGAUGGAUGUCUUACAGACUUUCAGAGGAGCUGAAGCCAGAUUGUUCUUACAAAUGGUCACCAGAAGGAGAACAAUCACAUGUCAGACUGUCUCAUCCUUCUCUGCAAAUCCCACAGAGAGGACACAGUAGAGUGGGCAAGAAUGCAAAGAAGGUCCAUGGUUUGGAACUGGCCCAAGCCGAACUAAAAUUUUCUAAAUAUACAUAAAACUGUCAACAAAGAGCACCGUGACCCACAGCCUGAAUAAAGGGAAAGCCCCAAGGCCCUCUGAAGCCACUAGUCCUUUGAGUUGUUUUAGGGAGAAGGCAGACAACCAAAGAUUAUUUUACCUUAUUAGACUGUGCCCAUCCAAGCCCAGGUAAAACUUUUUGAUGAGCAGAAAACUGGAAUUAUUUCCCUUUCUCUACUCUGGAUUGAGUGUGAAUUCUCCGGAGAAACUUGGCUUUGAGAGCACUAGCUGGAUAUAUAGGGGUCCAUUUCCAAUCUGCCCUGAGAAGGGUCCUGUCUUCAUCCUAAAGGAAGGCUUUAGAAAACUGUUAUCUAAGAUCUAGGAUUGAAGAUGGUGAGAACCUAAGGCUUAGCAAUUGGCCCCAAUUCUUCCUGAAGCAUUAUCUGAGAGAGACAGCCUAGCCUGUGGUUUUUGACCCCUGGCAGAAGGGUGAAGAGAGGGAAGAAGAAAGAAGGAAGAUGAAGACAACUUCCUGCUCAAGACCAACCCAUCUCCCAUCAUUCUGGGGUGACCAGUUGAGAAAACAAUGAUAUCUCCCUUACUCUCAUCUGUUUCCAAAGGCUUUGCUUCAUCUACCAAAAAACUGUGUGAGUGAGAACCAUCUACCCUCAAGUGUUUAUUAAGCUCUUAGAGUCAUUCUCUGGUGACUAUAUUGAUUCAUUUAUUUGUACUCUAGGAACAUAAAACAAUAUGGCAUUAUUGACACAGAAAACAAAGAAUAGACAGAUAGCAUACAGUUGAACAACUUUAAUUACCAGGGUUCCAGUGUCUGUUUAACUAGCUGUGUAAAUAUGAGUAAUUGAAUUAAUUUUUCUAGGAUCAAUUUCCUUACUUCUAAAUGAGAAAGAUGAGGCCAAAAGUUCUUAACCUUACUUCUGGCUUUACAACUGAAUGGUUCUCUGUUCCUAAUAAUGAGUUCCCCCUUUUUUUUUUUUUUUUUGAGACGAAGUCUCGCUC